UACGUAGGGGGCAAGCGUUGCCGGAAUUAUUGGGCGUAAAGAGCUUGUAGGCGGUUUGUCGCGUCUGCUGUGAAAAUCCGGGGCUCAACCCCGGACUUGCAGUGGGUACGGGCAGACUAGAGUGUGGUAGGGGAGACUGGAAUUCUGGUGUAGCGGUGAAAUGCGCAGAUAUCAGGAGGAACACCGAUGGCGAAGGCAGGUCUCGUGGGCCACUACUGACGCUGAGAAGCGAAAGCUGGGGAGCGAACAGG
rnacentral:rRNA from 1 species